rfam:Felis catus isolate Cinnamon breed Abyssinian chromosome C1, whole genome shotgun sequence.
GCCUGAGUGGCUCAGUCGGUUGAGCGUCUGACCUCGGCUCAGGGCAUGAUCUCAUGGUUUGUGAGUUCGAGCCCCGCUUCAGGCU